CCUACGGAGGGCUGCAGUGAGGAAUAUUGGUCAAUGGGCGAGAGCCUGAACCAGCCAAGUCGCGUGAAGGAUGACGGCCCUACGGGUUGUAAACUUCUUUUGUCAGGGAGCAAGGGGGACCACGCGAGGGCUUAGCGAGAGGACCUGAAGAAAAAGCAGCGGCUAACUCCGUGCCAGCAGCCGCGGUAAUACGGAGGAUGCGAGCGUUAGCAGGAUUUAUUGGGUUGACAGGGUGCGUAGGCGGAAGAUCAAGUCAGCGGUCAAAAUUCGGGGCUCAACCCCGUCGUGCCGUUGAAACUGCUGUUCUUGAGUGGGCGAGCAGUAUGCGGACUGCGUGGUGUAGCG
rnacentral:rRNA from 1 species